rnacentral:tRNA from 1 species
GGGUCCGUAGCUUAAUGGUAGAGCAACAUCCUCUUAAGAUGAUGGUUGAGGGUUCGAUUCCCUCCGGGCCCA